rnacentral:rRNA from 1 species
CUCCUACGGGAGGCAGCAGUAGGGAAUCUUCCGCAAUGGGCGAAAGCCUGACGGAGCAACGCCGCGUGAGUGAUGAAGGGUUUCGGCUCGUAAAACUCUGUUAUUAGGGAAGAACAAAUGUGUAAGUAACUAUGCACAUCUUGACGGUACCUAAUCAGAAAGCCACGGCUAACUACGUGCCAGCAGCCGCGGUAAUAC